rnacentral:rRNA from 1 species
GAUGAACGCUGGCGGCGUGCCUAAUACAUGCAAGUCGAGCGAACAGACGAGGAGCUUGCUCCUCUGACGUUAGCGGCGGACGGGUGAGUAACACGUGGAUAACCUACCUAUAAGACUGGGAUAACUUCGGGAAACCGGAGCUAAUACCGGAUAAUAUAUUGAACCGCAUGGUUCAAUAGUGAAAGACGGUUUUGCUGUCACUUAUAGAUGGUUCCGCGCCGCAUUAGCUAGUUGGUAAGGUAACGGCUUACCAAGGCGACGAUGCGUAGCCGACCUGAGAGGGUGAUCGGCCACACUGGAACUGAGACACGGUCCAGACUCCUACGGGAGGCAGCAGUAGGGAAUCUUCCGCAAUGGGCGAAAGCCUGACGGAGCAACGCCGCGUGAGUGAUGAAGGUCUUCGGAUCGUAAAACUCUGUUAUUAGGGAAGAACAAAUGUGUAAGUAACUAUGCACGUCUUGACGGUACCUAAUCAGAAAGCCACGGCUAACUACGUG